GAUGAACGCUGGCGGCGUGCCUAAUACAUGCAAGUCGAGCGAACGGACGAGAAGCUUGCUUCUCUGAUGUUAGCGGCGGACGGGUGAGUAACACGUGGAUAACCUACCUAUAAGACUGGGAUAACUUCGGGAACCGGAGCUAAUACCGGAUAAUAUUUUGAACCGCAUGGUUCAAAAGUGAAAGACGGUCUUGCUGUCACUUAUAGAUGGAUCCGCGCUGCAUUAGCUAGUUGGUAAGGUAACGGCUUACCAAGGCAACGAUGCAUAGCCGACCUGAGAGGGUGAUCGGCCACACUGGAACUGAGACACGGUCCAGACUCCUACGGGAGGCAGCAGUAGGGAAUCUUCCGCAAUGGGCGAAAGCCUGACGGAGCAACGCCGCGUGAGUGAUGAAGGUCUUCGGAUCGUAAAACUCUGUUAUUAGGGAAGAACAUAUGUGUAAGUAACUGUGCACAUCUUGACGGUACCUAAUCAGAAAGCCACGGCUAACUACGUG
rnacentral:rRNA from 1 species